rnacentral:telomerase_RNA from 1 species
UAACAUUAGGGUCGGUUCAAUCGAGGUAGAUAUUCGCAUCCCGCCUUCUGUCCAAAUAAUACAACAGAUAGGGGUGCGGAAAACCCAAUAACCCUUAACAGUACAUUGUUUUUCCUUCGUCAUUUGGGUUUUAUUAAAAACCAGGAAAUGGCCGCAUUUACGCUUGAUUGGCCGGCUUUUUUGCCUAAAUUAAAAAAAUUCUAUAUUUUUUUUU